rnacentral:ribozyme from 1 species
AACUGGGCGGAGGGAAUGAGUUCCUAAGCACCUAAACACGACAGCUCAGACAAAACCCAGUGGCUUUUUAUUUUUUUUGUUUCUUGAUAUACCGCCUCUAUCCACUGUACUAAAAACAAAACCAGGAAAAAAAA